GGUUGGUGGAAAAUUUGAGGAACUGAGAGGUAUUAUUGAUAGAGUGCAUGAUAAAUCUCGUGUUGGUGUUUGUCUUGAUACCUGUCAUGCUUUUGCCGCUGGUUAUGAUCUCAAAACAACAGGUGGAUUUGAACAGAUGAUGAAUGAUUUUGAACGGAUCAUUGGACUGGAAUAUCUGAAGGGUGUACAUCUGAAUGACUCUAAAGGAGGGUUGGGUUGUCACCUUGACCGACAUGAAAAUAUUGGCAGAGGAAAGAUUGGAAAGAAGGGAUUUCAACUUCUGAUGAAAGAUAAAAGAUUUAAUGGCAUUCCAAUGGUGUUGGAGACACCUUGCGAAAGUGAUGACACCUACACUAGAGAAAUUGCUCUGCUGUAUUCCAUGCAGGGAAAAUGUGAAUCAUAAAGAACGAUGAUCUAAGGAUAUCAACAAAAUUUAAAAAGAUAGACCGGAAAGAGCAUCAAUAUGGAAUAGCCAAGUUAUGGGAGAGACCUUUUCCAAGUGAUGUGAGUGAGAGGAGUUGCUCUGCUAAAGUCAUGGAAGAAUAAGGUAAAUCUUGAAACUACAGUAGAUCUACUAGAUCCACAAACACAUGGCCAAUAAAAUUGAUAAGAAAUACAAAGGAUAUAACGGAAAACCAAUGGCGAGGUACAGUUACACCAAGUCAUUUUGAUGUUUAAUAACCCGAACAAAUCGCAAGGAUGUUUAAAUUGGAACGUUGGCUUAAGAUACAGUGUUUUGGGUGUGAAGAAACGAAGUCCAUUUCCAUAUUUUAUGGUUAAUAAUUUUUAUAAUACCAGUCCUUAAGAAAUUAUUUUAUUCUUACUUUGAAUCUUGAUCUCGUUUCUUCCUAACAUGUCAAGUGGUCAUUGGUGUCUUCAUUGCGAGUAAAAACAUGUUGAGUAAUAGAUGUAAUAAAGGACUAAUUUAUUUUCAAAAAUAAAUUGGGAUUAAUAGGUCGUAACAUCCCU